rnacentral:lncRNA from 1 species
UAAAGCAAAAGCAUAAAGAGAAAGAGAAGAGAGUUUACAUUUGGAUUGUCACUCUGAUAACUUUUGGACUGGUAUUCCUUUCGUUUUCCCUCGUUACUUUGUUGUUAAUGUAGCCAUGAUUUCCUAUAUGAUCCACAUGCCUGAUUAAGUUGACCUAGUUGUUUUUGAUGAUUUUCUCUGCUGACUUGAUUUCAUGAUAUUUUUUUGGUUUUUG